rnacentral:rRNA from 1 species
AUACAUGCAAGUCGAGCGAAUCUUUAGGAGCUUGCUCCUAUUGGUUAGCGGCGGACGGGUCAGUAACACGUGGGCAACCUACCUAUAAGACUGGGAUAACUUCGGGAAACCGUAGCUAAUACCGGAUAAUCCUUCUCCUCUCAUGAGGAAAAGCUGAAAGACGGUUUACGCUGUCACUUAUAGAUGGGCCCGCGGCGCAUUAGCUAGUUGGUGAGGUAACGGCUCACCAAGGCAACGAUGCGUAGCCGACCUGAGAGGGUGAUCGGCCACACUGGGACUGAGACACGGCCCAGACUCCUACGGGAGGCAGCAGUAGGGAAUCUUCCACAAUGGACGAAAGUCUGAUGGAGCAACGCCGCGUGAGCGAUGAAGGCCUUCGGGUCGUAAAGCUCUGUUGUUAGGGAAGGACAAGUACCGGAGUAACUGCCGGUAUCAUGACGGUACCUAACCAGAAAGCCACGGCUAACUACGUGCCAGCAGCCGCGGUAAUACGUAGGUGGCAAGCGUUGUCCGGAAUUAUUGGGCGUAAAGCGCGCGCAGGCGGUCCUUUAAGUCUGAUGUGAAAGCCCACGGCUCAACCGUGGAGGGUCAUUGGAAACUGGGGGACUUGAGUUCAGAAGAGGAAAGCGGAAUUCCACGUGUAGCGGUGAAAUGCGUAGAGAUGUGGAGGAACACCAGUGGCGAAGGCGGCUUUCUGGUCUGUAACUGACGCUGAGGCGCGAAAGCGUGGCGAGCAAACAGGAUUAGAUACCCUGGUAGUCCACGCUGUAAACGAUGAGUGCUAAGUGUUAGAGGGUUUCCGCCCUUUAGUGCUGCAGCUAACGCAUUAAGCACUCCGCCUGGGGAGUACGGCCGCAAGGCUGAA